CCUACGGGAGGCAGCAGUAGGGAAUAUUGCUCAAUGGGGGAAACCCUGAAGCAGCAACGCCGCGUGGAGGAUGAAGGUUUUCGGAUUGUAAACUCCUUUUGUUAGAGAAGAUAAUGACGGUAUCUAACGAAUAAGCACCGGCUAACUCCGUGCCAGCAGCCGCGGUAAUACGGAGGGUGCAAGCGUUACUCGGAAUCACUGGGCGUAAAGAGCGCGUAGGCGGGAUAGCAAGUCAGAUGUGAAAUCCUAGGGCUUAACCAUAAAACUGCAUUUGAAACUGUUAUUCUAGAGUAUGGGAGAGGUAGGUGGAAUUCUUGGUGUAGGGGUAAAAUCCGUAGAGAUCAAGAGGAAUACUCAUUGCGAAGGCGACCUGCUAGAACAUAACUGACGCUGAUGCGCGAAAGCGUGGGGAGCAAACAGGAUUAGAUACCCGGGUAGUC
rnacentral:rRNA from 1 species